AACGAACGCUGGCGGCAGGCUUAACACAUGCAAGUCGAACGCAUGCCUUCGGGCAUGAGUGGCAGACGGGUGAGUAACGCGUGGGAACCUACCCCUUGGUACGGGAUAGCUCCGGGAAACUGGAGAUAAUACCGUAUGUGUCCUGAGGGACAAAGAUUCAUCGCCAAGGGAUGGGCCCGCGUCGGAUUAGCUAGUUGGUGGGGUAACGGCCUACCAAGGCGACGAUCCGUAGCUGGUCUAAGAGGAUGAUCAGCCACAUUGGGACUGAGACACGGCCCAAACCCCUACGGGAGGACGGAGGGGGGAAUAUGGGAAAAGGGGCGCAAGCCUGAUCCCGCCAGGCCCGGUGGGGGAUGAAGGCCCUAGGGUUUGAAAGCUCUUUCCCCGGUGAAGAUAAUGACGGUAACCGGAGAAGAAGCCCCGGCUAACUUCGU
rnacentral:rRNA from 1 species